rnacentral:lncRNA from 1 species
AAACAAAGAAAAUCUAAUGGGAAGAAAAGAACAACAUGUUUUCAUGCUGUGACUUGAAAUUGAUCGUAUAACUGAUAUUCACCACACUAUCAAUUUAUCAGUAUCAAAGGAACGAAAUUCCUUUUUACGAGUUGCAAUAAAUAUCGGCAAUAGCUCAGUUCAGGCAAUUGAAACAACAGGAAGAGGAUACCAAGUUGACCUGUUGUAUUAGGAAUCAAAACUUAGAUCUAACAACAAACAACAUAGCCACCGGACUCAGAAAAAGGUUUCACCUUUGUGGCCUGGCCACCCCUCAUACCGCGGAGGGCUCCUCCAUAUCCCUGUCCCUGCCACGGCCGUUGGCGCCGGCGCCCCCACCGUGGUGAGGCGGGUCAACGGCACUGAGGCCAUCAGGCAUGAGGGAGGCCGGGCGGUUCUCGAUGACCUCGUCUAUAAGCCCCCAUUCGCGGGCCUCCUCGGGGUCCAUGAAAAGGUCACGCUCCAUGCACUGCUCGAUCUUGUCGAUGUUCUGGCCCGUGUGCUUGGCGUAGAUCUUGUUGAGGCGGUCGCGCAGCUUGAGUAUCUCCUUGGCCUGGAUGGCGAUGUCGGUGGCCUGGCCCUGGGCCCCGCCGGAGGGCUGGUGGAUCAUGACCCUGGCGUUGGGCAGCGCCCGCCUCUCCCCGCGCGCGCCGGCGGCGAGGAGGAGGGAGCCCAUGGAGGCGGCCUGGCCGAUGCAGAUGGUGUUGACGGGGCAGCGGAUGUACUGCAUGGUGUCGUAGAUGGCGAGCCCGGCGGUGACGACGCCCCCGGGGGAGUUGAUGUAGAGGCUGAUGGGCUUGAGCGGGUUCUCGGACUCGAGGAAGAGCAGCUGCGCGACGACGAGGGACGCCGUCUCGUCGGCGAUGGGCCCGUGGAUGCAGACGAUCCGCUCCUUGAGCAGGCGGGAGAAGAUGUCGUAGGCGCGCUCCCCGCGGGAGGUGGUCUCGACGACCAUGGGCACGAGGCCGUACUCGCGGACGGAGGAGUAGCCCUCCGGCUCCGGCGGCUGGUAGGGAGCCGAGGAGAAGAAGGCCCGCGGCGGGGCGGCGACGGCGAGCCGGCGCGGCGCGGGCCCGAACGGGCCCGGGCUGGCCGAGUUGGGCCUGGACCUGGGCCUCGGCGCGAAGGCGGGCAGCGGGGAGGCGCCGGCUAGGUUGGCGACGGCGGAGGGCGUCAUGGCUGCUGCUGCCGGUGGUCCUGGGGGCGUCCGGGGUGCGGAUUUGUGGUCGGAUGUGAGGCGGAAAUAGCAAGGGAGGACUUAUACCAAGGAAGGGGAGGAGAGUGUGAAACGGAGGAAACGGAUAGGGCGAGGCGAGACGUCGAGACGGUGGUUGCGCUUCGAUCCGCCGGAUCGGAUCUUUUCUUUUCUUCUCUUCUCCUCUCUUCUCCUCUCCGGGGUGGGGUGGAGUGGGGGAUCGGUGUUCCUCUCCCUGCCUUGCCUUGUUGCUUCUCCGUCUGGGCUUUCGCUUCUUUUCCAAGAAAGAAUUUAUUUUCUUUUCUGAGACAAAGAACGUCUGGGCUUUCGCUUGUUUUCCAUGAAAGAAUUUAUAAUUUUUUUCGAGACAAAGAAAGAAUUCGAUUUAGCCCACAGUAGUGGG